GUUGAACGCUGGCGGCAGGCUUAACACAUGCAAGUCGAGCGGAGAUGAGGUGCUUGCACCUUAUCUUAGCGGCGGACGGGUGAGUAAUGCUUAGGAAUCUGCCUAUUAGUGGGGGACAACAUUCCGAAAGGAAUGCUAAUACCGCAUACGUCCUACGGGAGAAAGCAGGGGAUCUUCGGACCUUGCGCUAAUAGAUGAGCCUAAGUCGGAUUAGCUAGUUGGUGGGGUAAAGGCCUACCAAGGCGACGAUCUGUAGCGGGUCUGAGAGGAUGAACGGCCACCCUGGGCCCGGAACCCGGCCCGGCCUCCUCCGGGAGGCGGCAGUGGGGAAUUUUGGAAAAUGGGGGGACCCCUGACCCAGCCUUGCCGCGUGUGGGAGGAAGGCCUUUUGUUGUAAAAGCCCUUUAAGCGAGGAGGAGCCUCCUGAGACUAUUACUCUUGGAUAGUGGCCGUUACCCGCAGAAUAGCACCGGCUAACUCUGUGCCAGCCGCCGCAGUAAGAC
rnacentral:rRNA from 1 species